rnacentral:misc_RNA from 1 species
AAGUCGUAACAAGGUCUCCGUAGGUGAACCUGCGGAGGGAUCAUUACCGAGUGAGGGCCUCUGACCCGACCUCCAACCCUCUGUCAUUAAAACCUCUGUUGCCUCGGGGGCGACCCGGGCCUUGUGCUCGGGGCCCCCGACGGACCAUUUCAAAACACUGCAUCUUUGCGUCGGAUUGAAUAAAGUAAAUUGAUUAAAACUUUCAACAACGGAUCUCUUGGUUCUG